UGUAAUUUCUGUGCUGUGACAAAUUA
rnacentral:piRNA from 1 species